rnacentral:tRNA from 2 species
AAGAGAAGUCUGGGGCAAGGAAAACUGCUAAUUUCUCCUUUCCAUGGUUCAAAUCCGUGGUUCUCUUA